rnacentral:lncRNA from 1 species
CAAAAGAUAAUCUAGAGUUAGAUGAACAUAGCAAUAGUAGUUAAAUUCAUAUGGUUUAUUUUUUGUCUGUGUCCUUCACUGUAUUAAGGACUCCAUGCACAUUACCAAUAAAUCUUCAUAGCAGCCCUAUGACAUGCACUCUACUUACUGUGCCUGUUUUACAGAUGGGGGAAGUGAAGAUUAGGGAAGUUAAACGGCUGGCUGAAGAUCACAUAGCUAGUAAUUAUGGAGCUGGGACUGAACCCAGGCCUAACUCAUUUGAGAGCAUAACAAAUACCUAAGAUAAACAGCUUCUAACUUGCCCAGAUGACCAUGGGAAAUGAGGAAAAAUUGGAAACUAAGGAUAACUAUGUUGUUCCUGGUCUGAGUGACGUGGGGAAUGAAGAUCUGAUUAUCAAGGUCCUGGGUUUAUCCUAAGGCUGUUUCACACCAAAGCUCUACAGGAAGGACACCAAGUAGCAAAAAAAUGCAUGUCAAAUGGGAGAAACAAAGUAGUUUUCCUUGGCUCUGUGUUAUGAGCAGGGAUGAGCACUGUCUUUUACAAGCUGUUCUCUGAGUUUUAUUAAAUAUCAACAGAAGUUCAACAAUGUGAGAGAGACUUCAAACAUAAUCACUGCUGUUAGAAUAAGAGGAACAACCAGGAGCAAGACAACGUUACCCAUGCCAAGUCCUCAAUAAUCCUGAUGCAGAGCAGUCUGCAUGAAAAUUAGGACAAUUAUCUACUGUAAAUUAAUGUACUUUAAUAUUCAACCUCUAAUACACACGUAUUGCUUUGUUUUCACAGGAUUAAAUGAAUUGAAGGGAUUAUAAAUCCAUAUGCAGUGAUAAAUUUCUAGUAUUGAUUAAGCACUCAUCAGACAGGCCUCCUGCUAAGUGCUGUGCUUAUAUGAGUAAACAAGACAAAGUCCAGUCCUCAGAAAACCUGACAUUUACUACGUGUUAACAAACCAAGUCUCUGAGGAUGGGGAUGUAGACUUGAUUUUGAAUGAGCAAUUCCAGUGAAAGAAACAAGUCAUCCAGUUCUGGUUCUAAGAAAAGUAAUGGGUACAUGAGAGCACUGAGUGGAGCAUUCCGUAGGGAAGAAAUGGUAUAAAAAAAAGGAUUAAGGUUAAAUCAAAAUGUAGAACUAAAAGUAGUUUGAUACAUAACUACAGGUAGAAUUGUAUGUAUUCAUUUUCUGUUCACUUGUUUUUUUGAGACAGGGUCUCCCUUUGUAGUUCAGGCUGAACUUGAGCUUACUAUGUAGCCCAGCAGCUAGCCUGGAACUCACAGUGAUCCUUCUGCCUCAGCCUCCCAAGUGCUGUGAUUACAGGCAUGCAUGACCAUAC